UCAAUGUCAUCACAUAUAAUUGCUUGCCAACAGGUGUUUUUCAUUCUGCUAUGCUAUCAUGUAUCUCCAGUGACUCCGAGGCUCUGGCUAGCCCUGGAAGGUAUCUGGAAAUUUGAUAGGUUAGUGUAAAACGUAGAUGCUCCUCAUUUAUAAUAAUUCACACCAUCUGAAAUUCACACCAUUCCAACCAUCUGAAUCUCAUCGGAGCUGUUACAGCUCUGGGGGUACUCUGUGGUGGCUAUGUUGAAAAUUCCAAACGUGUAUAUUGAUUAUUAGGAUGAAGUGUUAAAUUUUAAUUUUUAUUAGAUAAUCACAAAAACAAUAAUCUUAGCUUUCACAAUCAUUCGACUUCUGAUUGCCUAAUUUACUAUGAAAGUAUGGGUACUUUUGGUUGGGCUUUUCAACCUGCUUUUUUUUUGCAAAAGCCAAAAGCCAACCAAAGGGCUCAAAAGUCACGAGUGUUUUUUUUUUUUGAAAAGCAAUUUUUACUAUAGUACAAAUCAAAAGGCACCUUUCCCUCUCCUUUCACGAGCUUUUAAGCCCAAGAGUUACCCACCUGCCACUAGUUAUGCGGAGGAAAUAUUGGUUCCCUUCGUUCUAUUCCUCGCUCGCGUCUAACUCCUGUCGCUCCUUCCACAUCCACGAGCGGACGUGACCCGUGGCUAGGAUUCAAGGUCACCAUUGGCGUGCUCCGGUAGGCUGCCACCCCACCAGUCCUG
rnacentral:lncRNA from 1 species